rnacentral:rRNA from 1 species
UACGUAGGGUGCAAGCGUUGUCCGGAAUUAUUGGGCGUAAAGAGCGUGUAGGCGGCCAGAUAGGUCGGUUGUGAAAACUGGAGGCUCAACCUCCAGACGUCGACCGAAACCCUCUGGCUAGAGUCCGGAAGAGGAGAAUGGAAUUCCUGGUGUAGCGGUGAAAUGCGCAGAUAUCAGGAAGAACACCCGUGGCUAAGGCGGCUCUCUAGUACGGUACUGACGCUGAGACGCGAAAGCGUGGGGAGCGAACAGG